rnacentral:rRNA from 1 species
GAUGAACGCUGGCGGCGUGCCUAAUACAUGCAAGUCGAGCGAACGGACGAGAAGCUUGCGUCUCUGAUGUUAGCGGCGGACGGGUGAGUAACACGUGGAUAGCCUACCUAUAAGACUGGGAUAACUACGGGAAACCGGAGAUAAUACCGGAUAAUAUUUUGAACCGCAUGGUUCAAAAGUGAAAGACGGUCUGGCUGUCACAUAGAGAUGGAUCCGCGCUGCAUUAGCUAGUUGGUAAGGUAACGGCUUACCAAGGCAACGAUGCAUAGCCGACCUGAGAGGGUGAUCAGCCACACUGGAACUGAGACACGGUCCAGACUCCUACGGGAGGCAGCAGUAGGGAAUCUUCCGCAAAGGGCGAAAGCCUGACGGAGCAACGCCGCGUGAGUGAUGAAGGUCUUCGGAUCGUAAAACUCUGUUAUUAGGGAAGAACAUAUGUGUAUGUAACUGUGCACAUCUUGACGGUACCUAAUCAGAAAGCCACGGCUAACUACGUG